rnacentral:rRNA from 1 species
CCUACGGGUGGCUGCAGUAGGGAAUAUUGCUCAAUGGGGGAAACCCUGAUGCAGCAACGCCGCGUGGAGGAUGAAGGUUUUCGGAUUGUAAACCCCUUUUGGCAGAGAAGAUAAUGACGGUAUCUAACGAAUAAGCCCCGGCUAACUCCGUGCCAGCAGCCGCGGUAAUACGGAGGGUGCAAGCGUUACUCGGAGUUACUGGGGGUAAGGGGCGCGUAGGCGGGAGAGCAAGUCAGAGGUGAAAUCCUAUGGCUUAACCAUAGAACUGUAUUUGAAACUGUGAUUCUGGGGUAAGGGAGAGGAAGGGGGAAUUCUUGUUGAAGGGGUAAAAGC